GGAUACAGUAGAACCAGAAAAAGCUCUGAAAACAGCACAUUCGACCAGAGACAUGGAGCAGUUACCAUAGGCGUAUUCCUCAUGUGAUUUGCAUUCCUCUGUAGAUGCACUUGUACGAUCACUCUGGAAUAAAGAAACAUUGGCAGAGAACACAGUGGGUUUCCACAUCUGAAUUCUACUGAAAUCUAUUGGAAAAUUCUGUGGAUUUUGAUGGGAGCCUGAAGACAAUCUAUGAACUGAAGAGGAACUGGUUUACUUAAGCAUGCUGCUUUGGGAAAAACUCCGAACUAUCCUGGAGGAGAAAAGAAAUCUUGUGAGAUAUAUCUGUGUUAUGACAGUCCAAUCUUAUUGGAAUGCUACAAUAGAAGUAAGGGGGUGAG